GACUCUCAGCAAUAGAUAUCUCGGCUCUCACAUCGAUGAAGAACGUAGCAAGAUACGAUACUUGGUGUGAAUUGAAGAAUCCCAUGAACCAUAGAGUAUUUGAACACAAUUUAUGCCAAAAGCUAUUAGGCCGAGGGCACGUCUGCCUUAGCAUCA